rnacentral:sRNA from 1 species
GCCGGGCAUGGUGGUGCACACCUGUCAUCCCAGCGGACUGGGAGGCUGAGUCAAGAGGAUCUUUGAGUUCAAAGCCAGCCUCAGCAAUGGUGAGGCCCUAAGCAACUCAGUGAGACCCUGUCUCUA